UUUAUGGAGAGUUUGAUCCUGGCUCAGGACGAACGCUGGCGGCGUGCCUAAUACAUGCAAGUCGAGCGCAGGAAACUGACGGAACUCUUCGGAGGGAAGGCAGUGGAAUGAGCGGCGGACGGGUGAGUAACACGUAAGGAACCUGCCUCAAGGAUUGGGAUAACUCCGAGAAAUCGGAGCUAAUACCGGAUAGUUCAUCGGACCGCAUGGUCCGUUGAUGAAAGGCGCU
rnacentral:rRNA from 1 species